rnacentral:rRNA from 1 species
ACUCCGUACGGGAGGCAGCAGGUGGGGAAUAUUGCACAAUGGGCGCAAGCCUGAUGCAGCCAUGCCGCGUGUAUGAAGAAGGCCUUCGGGUUAGUAAGUACUUUCAGCAGUGAGGAAGGCGGGUGUGUUAAUAGCGCAUUCGUUUGACGUUAGCUGCAGAAGAAGCACCGGCUAACUCCGUGCCAGCAGCCGCGGUAAUACGGAGGGUGCGAGCGUUAAUCGGAAUUACUGGGCGUAAAGCGCAUGCAGGUGGUUUGUUAAGUCAGAUGUGAAAGCCCGGGGCUCAACCUCGGAAUUAGCAUUUGAAACUAGGCAGACUAGAGUACUGUAGAGGGGGGUAGAAUUUCAGGUGUAGCGGUGAAAUGCGUAGAGAUCUGAAGGAAUACGGUGGCGAAGGCGGCCCCCUGGACAGAUACUGACACUCAGAUGCGAAAGCGU